GAAUUCUUACCACUAAACUACAGCCACUUGAAU
rnacentral:sRNA from 1 species